GGGGAUGAAAGGCUUCGACGGGGCAGGUUCCGGUCACGGAUCGCAAGCCGAGGCGCCUGACCUCGUAAAAACGGGCACAACCACAAGUGCCAAAAACACUGGCAACGUCUUCAACUUCGGUUUCGCCCGCAGCAAUGCGAUGGCGAUCGCUGCCUAAGCAACCGUUGCUGAGACACUGGUCGCCCGCGAGGUGACCACGGCCCCGGAGUUGGGUCCUGGCGGCAACUCCGGAUCGCUGUCAUAAACCGCAAGGCGCGGCCCGGUCGACGCCGAUACACCGGGUCAAAGGUCAUCGGCUAGCCUGCUCCCAGGGCGAUGUUCCAGGCGCCCGGCAGGCAAAUCUACCACCUGAGAACUAAGCUUGUAGACGUUCGUGGGCGGCUGUCUCGGACCGGGGUUCGAUUCCCCGCAUCUCCACCU
rnacentral:tmRNA from 1 species